UACAGAGGGUGCAAGCGUUGUUCGGAAUUACUGGGCGUAAAGCGCGCGCAGGCGGUUGGGCAAGUCUGACGUGAAAGCUCCUGGCUUAACUGGGAGAGGUCGUUGGAAACUGCCUGACUUGAGGCAAUGAGAGGGACAUGGAAUUCUCGGUGUAGUGGUGGAAUGCGUAGAUAUCGAGAAGAACACCAGUGGCGCAAGCGAUGUCCUGGCAUUGACCUGACGCUCAGGUGCGAAAGCGUGGGGAGCGAACGGG
rnacentral:rRNA from 1 species